rnacentral:rRNA from 1 species
AUGAACGCUAGCGACAGGCUUAACACAUGCAAGUCGAGGGGCAGCGAGGAAGUGGCAACACUUCCGUCGGCGACCGGCGCACGGGUGAGUAACGCGUAUGCAACCUGCCCUUCACAGGGGGAUAACCGGGAGAAAUUCCGACUAAUACCGCAUACGUCCUCCGGGGGCAUCCCCGGGGGAUGAAAGAAUUAUCGGUGAAGGAUGGGCAUGCGUGAUAUUAGGUAGUUGGCGGGGCAACGGCCCACCAAGCCCACGAUAUCUAGGGGUUCUGAGAGGAAGGUCCCCCACAUUGGUACUGAGACACGGACCAAACUCCUACGGGAGGCAGCAGUGAGGAAUAUUGGUCAAUGGACGAGAGUCUGAACCAGCCAAGUCGCGUGAAGGAAGACGGAUCUAUGGUUUGUAAACUUCUUUAGUGCGGGAACAAAGCGGCGUCGAGACGCCGGAUGAGUGUACCGCAAGAAUAAGCAUCGGCUAACUCCGUGCCAGCAGCCGCGGUAAUACGGAGGAUGCGAGCGUUAUCCGGAUUUAUUGGGUUUAAAGGGAGCGCAGGCUGCGAGGCAAGUCAGCGGUCAAAUGUCGGGGCUCAACCCCGGCCUGCCGUUGAAACUGUUUUGCUAGAGUUCGAGUGAGGUAUGCGGAAUGCGUUGUGUAGCGGUGAAAUGCAUAGAUAUGACGCAGAACUCCGAUUGCGAAGGCAGCAUACCAACUCGCGACUGACGCUGAGGCUCGAAAGCGUGGGUAUCGAACAGGAUUAGAUACCCUGGUAGUCCACGCAGUAAACGAUGAAUACUAACUGUUCGGAGGGCGACCUCUGAGUGGUAAAGCGAAAGCGUUAAGUAUUCCACCUGGGGAGUACGCCGGCAACGGUGAAACUCAAAGGAAUUGACGGGGGCCCGCACAAGCGGUGGAGCAUGUGGUUUAAUUCGAAGCAACGCGAAGAACCUUACCAGGUCUUGACAUCGAUCUAAAAGGGAUGGAGACAUCCUCAUAGCUAUAGAGAAGACAGGUGGUGCAUGGUUGUCGUCAGCUCGUGCCGUGAGGUGUCGGCUUAAGUGCCAUAACGAGCGCAACCCCCGCGUCCAGUUGCCAGCGAUUAGAGUCGGGCACUCUGGACGGACUGCCGGCGCAAGCCGCGAGGAAGGCGGGGAUGACGUCAAAUCAGCACGGCCCUUACGUCCGGGGCGACACACGUGUUACAAUGGCGUGGAACAGAGGGAAGCCACCUGGCGACAGGGAGCGGAACCCGAAAACACGUCUCAGUUCGGAUUGGAGUCUGCAACUCGACUCCAUGAAGCUGGAUUCGCUAGUAAUCGCGCAUCAGCCAUGGCGCGGUGAAUACGUUCCCGGGCCUUGUACACACCGCCCGUCAAGCCAUGGGAGCCGGGAGUGCCUGAAGGCCGUAACCGCAAGGAGCGGUCAAGGGUAAGACUGGUGACUGGGGCU